UUUGCCAAAAGAGCAGGAAUCAUGUCUUUCGUGCAAAAGUUGCCUGCAAUGUCUCCCGAAGUUGUGAAAUGCAUGAUGCGCAUUCACAGGCAACACGGCCUUCACGUCUAUUAUGACGUCCCGACCAAGGAAGUAAUCGGAGAAUUGCCCGCCCACUUGUUCGUUGGAGCAUCGGUGGCUCUUUUCUUCUUCACAUACGUCACUCCAGUCAGGUUCCGCGUAGCAGUCAUGCAUGCUGGCGAAAAUCACUAUGUCGAGAUGGGCCUGUUUGAAAAUGAGUUUGGGAAGGAGAAGCUCCACUACAAGUACGCUGAGCGUUUGGGAAAAGUGGCGAUCAAAACACAAGAAGGGUAUUCCUCGGACUCUGAACCCGUUCCUCACUACGACGUAGCAAUCGAUGGGACAAAGCCUGAUGUACAUCACUGCAUGGAGUAUCGCUUUACUGAUGUAAAAACUACAGAGUUUUUUUUUGACGGUGUCAAGCUUGGAGAGGAAAAGAAGCUGGCAGCUGCCCUUUUUCACAAGAUCUUCAAUUACGUUCCAGUAGAGGGUGAAAUUUACAAUAACGUGAUGUUCACAGAGUUGCAUGUCACUUGUCCAAAGAACAUGACGUUAACGCUCUUACCAGAGGAUGCCUACAUACACGUGGACAAUCUGGUCUUCAUCGGUACGGGUGGUUCCAUAACUAUCACUGGGGAAUUCAAGAAAUCAGGGGACACCAGUGUAACUAUCGAGUCAAAACAUGGGUACACUGUGAAACCGCCGAAGACGUUUUCGAAACCUGAUGGUGCUGACGGAGAAGUGUUCCUCGUGAUUUUCAACCGAGGACAUCUCCUGACAUGCCUUAUCGGCGGAAAGGAAAAAGAGGUUGCUUCGCUCACUACGUCAUGUGACGUGCCUGCAGUCAAAGUAAAAAACUUUGACACCUACAACGUGGAAUUUGUAUGGUCGUGUUGCUUCACACUGGUGAUCGCCGCAAGUGGCGAUAGGAGCCCGCGCGCACGCGUAGUGCCCGUAGAGCGGCCCUUACUUCAGUCGGGCUCUGGCUCUCGUGGAGAGAGGAGGUAAGGUCGGUCGCUCCGUCGUCGCCACGUCAAUUGAGCCCUGGCUGUCGACGGGAGCGGACGCUCCGUCGUAGUGGGGGAAAGCCAUGACUGUGGCACCAUCUGGUGUGAUGCCUUGCAACUAGGUAGCCACCUGUUGCCGAUCUCUGCAACUACCGGCUGUCAAGAAGUAACAUGGAGGACGCUGGUCACUCUGGACGGUUUUCUUCGACACGGCGUCAUUGAUUUUCAAAUAAAUUGUUUCUCUCCACUC